ensembl:lncRNA
GAAUAUAAUCUUAUGGGGCAUUAUUGUAUUUUAUGUAGCCGCUAGCUAGCUAGUCAGAAAAUACUUUUUUGAACAUUUCGCAGGAUAUGUUGUAGACGGCAAAAGUAGCUGUGGGUGCUACAGUAGCGCCUGAAUCAGGACGUUGACAUGUAAAAAAAAAUAUAUAUAUCCAUUCUGGGAACAAGUAAAUUCAUAGCCAACUCAACCCUCUUCAGUCCAGGCUAAAUUAACCACGCGUUUACCUUCCUUCAUGCCACAUGACACACACCUAGCCAGCUAAGAUUACAUUUUGCCAUUAGUUUACACAGUGGCAAGAUGUAGUAGGUACCAAAUAAUAGAUUUCAUUUCACUAACAAUUUGUUUUUGCACAGGAUUGUGGCGAUUGCAUACUGCUACUGCCUUAAAUGGAACCACUUAAUUUCCAUCCAGGGAAGGGGGACCGAGAUUACUAGGUUUUAAUUAUAUUUUGCACGAUAUACCCCUCCCCACGCACACAUACCUGAACACUUGAAAAGCAGUUGAAACAGAACAGAGAUAGUGGUUCGCAUUUUUCUACUAUGGUUAUACUCUGUCAUCACACGUUGACUUGCUCCCAGACAAUGAGACAGGUUGGCACAACACCACCGGUGUAAUGCACUGUAUCAAAUUACAGACCAUGACAAAAGGUGCAGGAACUCCACAAUACUUCUGAGCUAAUAUUCUGCUGUGCAUCACAACAAGUAGAUCAUUUGAUGUGUCAAUACUCAGUGCCGAUCAGGCAGAUCUUCAAGCAGUGUGCCCCAGCAGACGUCGCAGUUGUGCCCUGGUUAACACCCCCUCACUGUGUGCCAACAAAGCUGUUUGCCAUAUUCAGGAGCUGAAGAGGCAACUGGAGAACUGGUGUCAACAGGUAAGAUGCUGAUGUCAUAGUGUGAUCAUGCAAGAGAUAGAGAACUAUGGGGCAAAUAUCAGUGAUAUUAACAAAUGAUCCAAUCUAUCUAGAAAUACUGUAAGGUUGGAUGCAUUUCUGUAAUUUGUCCUGUCCCCUCUAUCAGUCAGGAAAUGUUCAGCAUCAGAUGUCUCAUGAAAAACAGAAAAAUAGCAAAACUUUUAGAUUUCAUUCCAGUGAAUCCAAGUCUUCAAUUAUGUCUCCUGAGUUAUACAUUGAAGACAUUGGGCUAAGUGCAAGAACCGAAAGAAAAGGUGGCCUGUUGUCUCCGCUGUGUAAGGAAACUACAAAGUUGGUGUAUCUGAUUGAACAUCUAGAAGCUGAUCGCCAGGAUGCAGAGGAAGCACUACAAACAGAGAAGAAGAGGAGAGACUUGCAGUUGAAGCGGCGGUCUCUCACACUGAGGAGGGGUUCCUUAAAAGAAACAUCAGGAUACCUUGAAUCUUCAUGAGGAAAACAAAGAGUAUGAACUGGAGAUUGAGGACUACAGCAAAAAGAUCUAGCAGUGAAGCAGCUUCAGAAGAACAGGAAGCACAUGCAGCAGAAGUUCAGUGUGAACGAGGACCGGAGAGCAGAGGCUAAGGAGGAGCUGUCCCAGAUGGCUACGCUGCACCCCAAUGCCAGGGUCAACUUGGAGGAGCUGGAGCAGAAGACCUUCAUGGUGGAGCAGAGGAUGCGAGUAUGUGUGAGAAGAGCCAUGCACUUAGCUAGACAUCCAUGCACUCUAACCUGUAGUAAAUCCAUCCUAGAUAUAGAGGUGGCAUAUCCUUAUUGACACGUCUAAUGUUUAGAUUCAGCGCUUUGACCAUUAGAUAUUGCCGAUCACAUAAUCUGCACUAGUUGUCAGUGAAAUAAGCACAUACUUUUAGAGAUUCAUCCAUGCAUGGAGACUCACUAACAAGUUGGGUUUGUGAAAGGAAAGGAGCACUUGAAGAUAGACGUUCAGAUAGAUCCAUGUACAAUGAUGGAAUGGGCUUCUUUACUAGUGUUACUGAUGCAACACAUCAGUAUCUCCUCAGAAAGUGACUGAGAAUCCUAAGAAAGACGAGCGAGAUGAAAGCCCUGGCCAUUCUGAAGGUAAAUCUCUUCUGUCUGUUUUCUUUACAGUUUUGAGUUUCACAGGUUGGUUCUGUCGAGUAUCUUUUUACUCUCAGGUGUGUUAUAAAAACAGUGUGACAAGAGACUGAUAUGAUUCGUGUAGAACAGUUUCUUC